rnacentral:rRNA from 1 species
AGCGCAGGCGGGAAGACAAGUUGGAAGUGAAAUCUAUGGGCUCAACCCAUAAACUGCCUUCAAAACUGUUUUUCUUGAGUAGUGCAGAGGUAGGCGGAAUUCCCGGUGUAGCGGUGGAAUGCGUAGAUAUCGGGAGGAACACCAGUGGCGAAGGCGGCCUACUGGGCACCAACUGACGCUGAGGCUCGAAAGUGUGGGUAGCAAACA